rnacentral:rRNA from 1 species
AAAUUUAUAUAAAAUAUUUUGGGAUGAAUAUUUAUAUACUAUUAACAUAACUUCAUAUUACUAUAUAUUUUAGUAUAUGAAAUUUUACUUUGAGAAAAUUAGAGUGCUUAAAGCAGGCAUAUGCCUUGAAUACUCCAGCGUGGAAUAAUAUUAAAGAUUUUUAUCUUUCUUAUUGGUUCUAAGAUAAGAAUAAUGAUUAAUAGGGACAGUUGGGGGCAUUUGUAUUUAACAGUCAGAGGUGAAAUUCUUAGAUUUGUUAAAGACAAACUAAUGCGAAAGCAUUUGCCAAGGAUGUUUUCAUUAAUCAAGAACGAAAGUUAGGGGAUCGAAGACGAUCAGAUACCGUCGUAGUCUUAACCAUAAACUAUGCCAACUAGAGAUUGGAGGUUGUUCCUUACUCCUUC